AAACAAAGCAUUGCGAUGGU
rnacentral:snRNA from 1 species